rnacentral:lncRNA from 1 species
GCACAGGUCCUUGUGAGGCCACAGUGUCAGUAGCAGGUCCAGGCUGACUGCUGAGGGAGGAAGGACUCUGGCUUGCUGUAGAGGGAAACUGCUAGACCAGCACCAUUGAAGCAAGAGUUGGCAAAAUGAUUCAGAAGGAAAACGCCCCAGGAGCACAGGGAGGUGCUGGGUCCAUGAACACCUCCACAGCAAAGCAUCCACAGGAUGGAGGCCUCCAGCCAGCGACCAGGCAGACUAAGAAAGCAACAUCCACUGGAAGUAAGAUUUGUUGCUGUCAUACUGAAAAAUAGCAGGGAUGAAGAAUGUACUUGAAGCGUCAAAGACCAGGAGGGCCCAGACAACCUCACAGGGCUGCUGCAGUCCAUCUGUCUGCACGAGAGCAGAGUGGUCCCUUGCCACUGUCCUCUCCCAGAGCUCCAGCAGGAGCAGCUGCUCCACCGCCUAUUUGCCCUCUUUAGGACAAAUAUCAGGACGCUGUCACCAAGCUACUUUAUCACCUAUUUGUAAGUAUUGCAACUUGCCUUAUCAAUAGACAUCUGCCCCAUCAGAACCUCGAAUUCAGCUACUGACCUUUGUUGUCAUUCAUGCUCUUUAUGGUACGUUGAUUCAAGAGCAGGAUAGCAGGUCAGUAGCAGAAAGAGAAGCAGACCUGCACCAAAGGGUGUAUGAGCCCUGCAUGCUGCUGUAGAUACGUGGUGAGUUUGGAGAAUCUACUGCUUUCUGCUGUUUCUAAAACAGCAAUUGUUAUUUAUCAUUCCCUGUUUCCCAAGAUAAAUAAAAUAGCAAACUACUUUUUAGUAUACUGAGUU